ACCUUAUUACUUACUAUACACAUGCAAGUAUCCGCUCCCCCGUGAAAACGCCCUUAAACCCCCUCUAGGGACAAGGAGCUGGUAUCAGGCACAUCCGAUUGCCCAAGACACCUAGCUAUGCCACACCCACAAGGGAAUUCAGCAGUGAUUAACAUUGAGCAUUAGCGUAAGCUUGACUCAGUUAAAGUAAGAUAGAGCCGGCCAAUCUGGUGCCAGCCGCCGCGGUUACACCAUGUGGCUCAAAUUGAUUUCCUUCGGCGUAAAGCGUGAUUAAAGGGAUUAAAUUAAAAUUAAGCUGUGACACGCCUAUUUAUAAGAAGCUCAAAAACGAAAGUUAUCCUAAUCUAAACAACUUGAGUUCACGACAGCUGGGGUACAAACUGGGAUUAGAUACCCCACUAUGCCCAGCCGUAAACUUUUACUUACAUUCAAAUCGCCAGGGAACUACGAGCUAAGCUUAAAACCCAAAGGACUUGACGGUACCCCAUAUCCCCCUAGAGGAGCCUGUCCUAUAAUCGAUAAUCCACGUUUUAACCUCACCAUUUUUAAGUUAAUCAGCCUGUAUACCUCCGUCGUYAGCUUACCACGUGAGCGCCUCUUAGUGAGCUUAAUGUUUAUUACAANUACGUUCAGGUCAAAGGUGCAUUAAUGAAAAUGGAAANAGAUGGGCUACACUUUCCUAUAUUACNAAUAAACGACC
rnacentral:rRNA from 1 species